rnacentral:rRNA from 1 species
CCUACGGGAGGCAGCAGUGGGGAAUCUUGCACAAUGGGCGAAAGCCUGACGCAGCGACGCCGCGUGAGGGAUGAAGGUCUUCGGAUCGUAAACCUCUGUCAGCAGGGAAGAACGGUCACUGUGCUAAUCAGCAGUGAAUUGACGGUAACUGCAAAGGAAGCACCGGCUAACUCCGUGCCAGCAGCCGCGGUAAUACGUAGGGGGCGAGCGUUGAUCGGAAUUACUGGGCGUAAAGCGCUCGUAGGCGGUACGUCAAGUCAAGGGUGAAAGCCCCGGGCUCAACGGGGGAAUUGCCUUUGAAACUGGCAAACUGGAGUGUGGGAGAGGAUAGUGGAAUUCCAGGUGUAGGAGUGAAAUCCGUAGAUAUCUGGAGGAACAUCAGUGGCGAAGGCGACUAUCUGGCACAUAACUGACGCUGAGGAGCGAAAGCGUGGGUAGCAAACAGGAUUAGAUACCCGUGUAGUC